UGAAUUGACGGGACCCGCACAAGCGGUGGAUGAUGUGGUUUAAUUCGAUGCAACGCGAAAACCUUACCCACCUUUGACAUGGCAGGAAUCCUGAAGAGAUUUGGGAGUGCUCGAAAGAGAACCUGCACACAGGUGCUGCAUGGCUGUCGUCAGCUCGUGUCGUGAGAUGUUGGGUUAAGUCCCGCAACGAGCGCAACCCUUGCCAUUAGUUGCUACGAAAGGGCACUCUAAUGGGACUGCCGGUGACAAACCGGAGGAAGGUGGGGAUGACGUCAAGUCCUCAUGGCCCUUAUAGGUGGGGCUACACACGUCAUACAAUGGCCGGUACAGAGGGUAGCCAACCCGCGAGGGGGAGCCAAUCCCACAAAGCCGGUCGUAGUCCGGAUCGCAGUCUGCAACUCGACUGCGUGAAGUCGGAAUCGCUAGUAAUCGCGGAUCAGCAUGUCGCGGUGAAUACGUUCCCGGGUCUU
rnacentral:rRNA from 1 species